rnacentral:rRNA from 1 species
AGCGAACGCUGGCGGCAGGCCUAACACAUGCAAGUCGAACGAACUCUUCGGAGUUAGUGGCGGACGGGUGGGUAACACGUGGGAACGUGCCUUUAGGUUCGGAAUAACUCAGGGAAACUUGUGCUAAUACCGAAUGUGCCCUUCGGGGGAAAGAUUUAUCGCCUUUAGAGCGGCCCGCGUCUGAUUAGCUAGUUGGUGAGGUAAAGGCUCACCAAGGCGACGAUCAGUAGCUGGUCUGAGAGGAUGAUCAGCCACAUUGGGACUGAGACACGGCCCAAACUCCUACGGGAGGCAGCAGUGGGGGAUCUUGCGCAAUGGGCGAAAGCCUGACGCAGCCAUGCCGCGUGAAUGAUGAAGGUCUUAGGAUUGUAAAAUUCUUUCACCGGGGACGAUAAUGACGGUACCCGGAGAAGAAGCCCCGGCUAACUUCGUGCCAGCAGCCGCAGUAA